GCUGGGCAUGGUGGCGGAUGCCUGUAAUCCCAGCUACUUGGGAGGCUGAGGCAGGAUAAUCGCUUGAACCCGGGAGGCAGAGGUUGCAGUGAGCCAAGAUCGCACCACUGCACUCUAGCAUGGGCUACAGAGUGAGACUCUGUCUCAA
ensembl:misc_RNA Metazoa_SRP Metazoan signal recognition particle RNA